rnacentral:tmRNA from 1 species
UCUCUUUGCAAAAGCGCCGCCAAGCUUUAUCUGUUGGGAGCUGGCUUGUUCCAGCUACGGUGCUAAACUGGCUUGCGGAAUAAGCGUAGUGGACCCGGGGGCAGUACCCGGCGCCUCCACCAUCUUUUUGGUGUCCCUCGGGGAGGGGCCAUCGAUGGGGGCGAAACAGGAUCGACACGCGUGGUAAAGGCUUGUUGGGUGCCCGGCAUGGUUCCGCCGUUAUCGGGCCGUUCUACAGGUGCCAACGACAACCGUAUGGCCCUCGCUGCCUAAUAGAUAAAGGCAAGCGCGGUUCGGGGGGCACCGGGCAACAGAAGCCCCCCACU